rnacentral:tRNA from 1 species
GUCUUUAUGGUGAAACCUCAUCACAUUAUCUUUUCAAGAUAAAAUUGAAUUAUAUUCUAGAGAUA